UACGUAGGGGGCAAGCGUUAUCCGGAAUUACUGGGCGUAAAGCGCACGCAGGCGGUUCGCCAAGUUUGGAGUGACAGUUGUCGGCUCAACCGACAAAGGACUUCAAAAACUGGUGAACUUGAGGACGAGAGAGGAACAUGGAACUCCAGGUGUAGUAGUGAAAUGCGUAGAUAUCUGGAAGAACACCAAUGGCGAAGGCAAUGUUCUGGCUCGUUUCUGACGCUCAGGUGCGAAAGCCAGGGGAGCGAACGAG
rnacentral:rRNA from 1 species